GAUGAACGCUGGCGGCGUGCUUAACACAUGCAAGUCGAACGGGAAACCUUUUAUUGAAGCUUCGGCAGAUUUAGCUGGUUUCUAGUGGCGGACGGGUGAGUAACGCGUGGGUAACCUGCCUUAUACAGGGGGAUAACAGUCAGAAAUGGCUGCUAAUACCGCAUAAGCGCACAGAGCUGCAUGGCUCAGUGUGAAAAACUCCGGUGGUAUAAGAUGGACCCGCGUUGGAUUAGCUGGUUGGUGGGGUAACGGCCCACCAAGGCGACGAUCCAUAGCCGGCACGAGAGGGUGAACGGCCACAUUGGGACUGAGACACGGCCCAGACUCCUACGGGAGGCAGCAGUGGGGAAUAUUGCACAAUGGGGGAAACCCUGAUGCAGCGACGCCGCGUGAAGGAAGAAGUAUCUCGGUAUGUAAACUUCUAUCAGCAGGGAAGAUAAUGACGGUACCUGACUAAGAAGCCCCGGCUAACUACGUG
rnacentral:rRNA from 1 species